rnacentral:rRNA from 1 species
AGUAACGCGUAGGUAACCUGCCCUAGUGACUGGGAUAACUCUGUGAAAACGGGGCUAAUACCGGAUAAUAUCUACUUUCUCUGGAAUUUAGAUCAAAGUAGGCUUCGGCUUACACAUUAGGAUGGGCCUGCGUCUGAUUAGCUUGUUGGUAAGGUAAUGGCUUACCAAGGCUACGAUCAGUAGGUGGUUCGAGAGGAUGAUCACCAACACUGGGACUGAGAUACGGCCCAGACUCCUACGGGAGGCAGCAGUAAGGAAUUUUGCGCAAUGGCCGAAAGGUUGACGCAGCAACGCCGCGUGAUUGAAGAAGGUUUUAGGACUGUAAAGAUCUGUCAUAAGGGAAGAACAGUAUUUAUUCUAACAAAUUAUUUACUUGACGGUACCUUAUAAGAAAGCUCCGGCUAACUUCGUGCCAGCAGCCGCGGUAAUACGAGGGGAGCAAGCGUUGUCCGGAUUUAUUGGGCGUAAAGAGUUCGUAGGCUGAUUUAUAAGUCGAAAUUGAAAUCCAAUGGCUUAACCAUUGACACGGUUUCGAUACUGUAAAUCUUGAAUUAUGCAGAGGUAAGUGGAAUUCCUGGUGUAGCGGUGAAAUGCGUAGAUAUCAGGAGGAACACCAAAGGCGAAGGCAACUUACUGGGCAUCAAUUGACGCUGAGGAACGAAAGCGUGGGUAGCAAACAGGAUUAGAGACCCUGGUAGUCCACGCCGUAAACGAUGAGUACUUGGUGGUGGAAGAUUCGACCCUUUCACUGUCGGAGUAAACGCGUUAAUA